AUCUGCACACAACUUUCCGCUUCCCGGCCCGUCUCGGGGCCCUGAGUCAUCGCCGCCCCCGGCCCCGACGCUGGCCUGCGGCGUCUGUUUGUGCAGAGCGAGGCCCCGCCGGCCGGGCUUGACGUCAGGCUGGCAGGGCCUGGAACGGCCCCGCAUCGCGGCCCCCUGGGGGCAGGACGACACCGCUGGGGGCCGAGGGCAGGGCACGCCUUCGGAAUCCGGCUUCGAAGCCGGCCGCCUGACCUGGGGCAAGUGCUUUCAACUCUCUGAACUUCGGUUCCUCAUCUGCCAGUUGGCAGACGCUCAGCAAAUCUUCCUAGACUCACGGGGCGAAUUGUACAGUUGGGUAAAUCGAGGCCCAGAGAUGGCAAAAGGACCGUCCAAGGUCGUACAGCCACCCGGAAUUACAAUUCUUUUCUGCCGGGUCACACGCUGUCAUCCACGUGUUACCUAAGAGAGCUUUCCAGCCUGUGCUAAGAAAACUGCCCCACAUCAUCUGCAGUAGGACGGGGGAGUUGGAGCCCUGGUCAGGCCACUCUGCUACUGACCACAGUUUUCUCAUCUCUAAAAAGGCGCAGUAACAAUAUAAUUACCGUAUGCAGUCCCCCAGGAUACAGGGUCAAAGGAGAGCACAACCAUCGCAGUUGGAAGCCCAUGGGGCAGAAGCAAGGUCUCGCUGUGUUACCCUGGCUGGAGUGCAGUGGCUACUUACAGGCAUGAUCAUAGCAUACUGCAGCCUCGAACUCCUGGACUAGAGCAGUUCUCCUGCCUCAGCCUCCAGAGCAGCUGGGACUGCAGACACGCACCACAGAGCCCAGCCUGAGUCAUUUUGAUUCUGUAACUGGCUUCCUCUCGGCGGGCAGGCUCACACCCUCCACCCCCAGCUGGAGAUGGAAGGAGGAUGCUCACCGCCCAUUCCUCAUGCAGGCCAUCGAUGGAAAUGUCAGACAGUGCGAGUCCACGCCUGAACACUUCUGGGGUCCGCUCUGGGACUGACACUGGCAGAUCCAUCGGUGAGCUCCCGCCUGCCACCUCUGGGCCUGCAUUGCGGUGAUAGGGCCAAGGGCCUGGGCCUUCAAUUCUCCAGACUUGCCAAAAUGCUCAGCGCAGGCCUCGUCGGCAACUGCAGACAAGCAGAGGCAGCACCUGGGCUCUGCCUGUGCCUGGCACAGUGAAGCGAGGGUGGGGGCAGGAAUGAGGGUCCUCUCCAUGCAAGGGGGGAAGAUAGAAGAACAAAAUUUCACCCUAAUGUAGUGUCUUUAGACCGUGCAAUGUUGUGCUCCUGUUAGUCUGAUAUCAGGGGCUUGCAGCCUGGCAAAGGAAAAAAAACAGGCUGAGGCACAUGAUAGAAGACAGGCAGGGAUGCCACAAUCAUAACCAUGGCAAAGACCAGGAUCAGAAAGGCCCACCAUCUCUGACCCCAAAUCCCUGGGCAGAUGGUUCCAGAACUCAGAAUUUUCCCAGUUGUAGAAAGAUGGGGCCAGGUGCAGUGGCUCACGCCUGUAAUCCCAGCAUUUUGGGAGUACAAGGUGGGCGGAUCACCUGAGGUCAGGAGUUCGAGACCAGCCUGGCCAACAUGGUGAAACCCUGUCUCUACUAAAAAAAAAAAAAAAAAUUAGCCGGGCGUGGCGAUGCAUGCCUGUAAUCCCAGCUACUCGGGAGGCUGAGCCAGGAGAAUUGCUUGAACCCGGGAGGCGGAGGUUGCAGUGAGCCAAGAUCGCGCCACUACACUCCAGUCCGGGCGACAGAGCAAGAGUCCAUUCCCCCACCACCAAAAAAAAAAAAAAAAGAAAGAAAG
ensembl:lncRNA LINC00963 long intergenic non-protein coding RNA 963